UCUUCCUUUUGCUAGGGUAUAGCCAGAAGAAAUUCUGAUUAAUCCCCCAUAAUAUAAAGUAUCUGCAUGGAACCUUUAUUAAAGCUUAGGUGGCAAGAGAUGAGCCUGCGUCUGAUUAGGUUAGUUGGUGAGGUAAUGGCUCUACCAAGACUAUGAUCAGUAGGGGACCUAAGAGGGAAACCCUCCACACUGGAACUGAGACAAGGACCAGACUUCUACGGAAGGCAGCAGUGAGGAAUAUUGGUCAAUGGAGGAAACUCUGAACCAGCUAUGCCGCGUGUAGGAUGACAGUCUUUUAGAUUGUAAACUACUUUUACAUAGAAAUAAAAGUUACUACGGGAUGGUAACCUGAAGGUACUAUGCGAAUAAGUGUCGGCUAAUUUCGUGCCAGCAGCCGCGGUAAAACGAAAGACACAAGCGUUAUCCGGAUUUAUUGGGUUUAAAGGGUGUGUAGGUUGUUUAUUAAGUCAGUAGUGAAAGCUUACAGCUUAACUGUAAAAUUGCUAUUGAUACUGAUAAUCUUGAGUCAGAUUGGAGCGUCUGGAAUGUAUGGUGUAGCGGUGAAAUGCAUAGAUAUCAUACAGAACACCAAUAGCGAAGGCAGGAUGCUAAAUCUUCACUGACGCUGAGGCACGAAAGCGUGGGUAGCAAACAGGAUUAGAUACCCUGGUAGUCCACGCCCUAAACUAUGAUCACUAGCUAUUGGAAAAAUUAUAUUCAGUGGCCAAGCUAAAGCGAUAAGUGAUCCACCUGGGAAGUACGAUCGCAAGAUUGAAACUCAAAGGAAUUGACGGGGUUUCGCACAAGCGGUGGAGCAUGUGGUUUAAUUCGAUGAUACGCGAGGAACCUUACCAAGGUUUAAAUGUAUUACGAAUAAGCUGGAAACAA
rnacentral:rRNA from 1 species